GGAAGCAUGCAUAGCCUCAAGCUCUCCCAAAUCAUAUAUGGUCAAGCUAACAGGACCUGAAUCUGCCAUAGUUCAUGGGCUCUCUGGGGGCAAGGGAUGAGAGGCACUGGAAAAACAGAGAUGUCAGCUUCUCCUCUUGUUUCACUAGACAGUGUUAACUGACUGUAUUCUACUUGGCCAAUCAUGGUCCUAAAUACAUUGUUUAUUUAGAAUUUUUAGUAACCCUUUGAUAUUUUCUAUACAAACAUACUGCUGUCAGACCCAUGUCAGCCCUACAUUCCAGAGAAGGAAACUGAGGCCCAGAGGAGUCAAUGGCCUCAACGACACCAUGACCCCCUCCAUCCUUGACCAUGAUACUAUGCAUUUGGAGAAGGAAAGAGUCAUCUUAGUACUAAAGGAGGAGAGAAGGAUCAAUGAGCAAUACAAUGGUAGACUAUUACAUGCUAAGCAUCUAGGGUUGUGUUUAUAAGCUUCACUCAUCCAGGAUUGAGCUUGUCCCUGGAUCUGUAAAGACUAGAAUCUGGGAACUACUCUGAGAAGAUAAGACGUACAUAAUAAAGCCAAAAUAAAGCAUAAGCCCAAACUGGGAUCCAAAUGAGCACCACAGACUAAGAGCACAGAGCUCACCCUUACAGCGCUUUGUGUGGUUAAAUGGCAGCAAAGAGGGAGAAGGGGAUGACCCACACGUAAAGAACAUGGCCAAAAGCCUAGGGUGUGGAAAUAGCAAUGACUCCACACUGGCUCACUUAGAACUUGACCCAGGACAUGAACUGUAACCACACUCCUCCAAAACACAAUUACAGUAGAGUUUCCCACCAUGCUCUUGACAGGACAGCAAUGGAUAGAAGCUUCCCAUGUUCCCAUGGCAGCAUAUCAAUAUCUCUACUAUAACAGUUACCUGGGCAUUUUCUUGAUUGGUGAUUGAUGUGGGGUGGGAGCUGGCACGGUGGAUGGUGACACCCCUGUGCAGAUGGUCCUGGGUACUAUAAGAGAGCACGCUGAACACGCUAGAAUGGAUGAACAACCCAGUAAACAGAGUCUCUCCACCGUAUCUGCUUCAGUUCCUGCUUUGGCUUCCCUCCACGAUAGACUGUAAACUGUAAGUCAAAAAAUCCCUUUCCUCCCCACGUUGCUGUUUGGGUCACGGUGCUUAUCAGAGAAGCAAAAAGUGAAUUAGAGCACACAGUAUAUGAAUCAAGACUUUGAAUUGUGACUUUACUUCUCCUUUGCUCCGGGACCCGUAACUUGCCAAAGAGAGAGAAGCAAGGAGGGAGAGACCGGGAGAGACCGAGAAGGGAGGAGUAGAAUCCAUUUACUCGUUCCGUAAACAUUUGUUUUUAUUGAAUCUUAACAAUGUAUCAUGAACUCUUGUUACACGUUGACAGACAAAAGUAUACUUUCUGUUUGUUUGUUUAUUUGUUUUCCUUCUGUUUUUCUUUGAGACAACCAAGUAACUCAGGCUCGGUUUUGAACGCACAACCUCCCUGCGUCACCCUCCCAAGUGAUUGCAGGCACAUGGCACUGUGUUCACCCGUGGUUGGAUAGUACUUGCUUUAGCUCGGAGGACUUCAAUGCAGUCAUGCAAAUCAUUACAGUACCACCAUUACCAGUUCGAUUAAAAAAAAACAUUUUGCGCAGCAGUCCUUAUUCAAUGGUUUUCAGAGGAAAAGGCGGUAGAAGGGAGCACAGAAUGAGGGCACAGGAGAGCCCUGCGGCCAUAGUAAGCAGCUGCAGCGGAUCUAGCCGUUUAACCGAAAAGUCCUCCAGUUUACCAGGACAUCAGAUUGCCAUUGGGCUCACUUUGUCCUUAGGGUCAAACUGACAGUACAAACCCUUAAUGACACCGUCGCCCCUGAGAUACUCCCAUUCCACAGGGGGAGGGGGCUGCUUAGAAACAGAUAAGCAAUCUCCUAGAAUCUCAAGCUAAUGACUCAGCAGUCUAGAUUCUUCCAGGUUUCUCAAUACACUCGCAGAAGAUGUUUCCUCAUUGGAUCUCACGCUUCGGGUUAAUCAGCCCUGAGCAGGACAGCAGUUCACCAACCUCAACGUGGAGAACAGAGCUACUAAACAUGAAUUCUCAGGCCACAUUCCCAGAGAUGCUCAAACACUAGCUGGAAACUUCAUCUUAAGAAGCAUUCUAGGCUGGGGUGAGGCAUGUGAACUUCCAUACUAGACUUUGUGAAACACAGAACUCCAUCUUUCAGAAGUCCAUGUGUGCAAGGAACUCCUUACAGCCAACAACAUCACCUAUGUGGGGAUCUGAGCUUAUCUUCCCAGCAAGUUCUGUGACUUUCCACAUAUCCCUUGACCUCAGGCUUCCUCAGUUCCCUUCACUACAGAAUGAGUGUAUUUCACCAAGAGCUCAUUUCCAUACAUAAACAGAAGACUCCUGUUUUUACAACUUCCUAACUCCUAAAAGGUAUUGACUCCUCCCCCAUUCAGCAGCGCAGUAGCAAGCCUGUAGAAGAUUGUUUUGCACCUGGGGAGGUAGCUUCCACUGCUUGAAUAAAUAAUUUAUGGGGAUCAACACUUGCUUAAAUGAAUGAAAAGAAAGAUGAACUGGAAAGCAUCUCUCUUCCCUCCCCAAAUCUCCUCAUGAGAGAAGCAUUAAUGGCAUUCCUUGAUGUGCACAGGUGGACAGAGCUGAGCUGAUGGAUGCCAAUUGGGACACUGCGGAGAACAGCCCUGCUAUGAAGCUUACCUGAUAGUGAGCUGAGAACAGAGGGGUUUUUUUGUUUUUGUUUUUGUUUUUGUUUUUGUUUUUUAACACCAGAUACUGUGACCACUGACAACCAGGGAAACCAGCUCUUGGCUAAACGUGUGGUUUCCUGAAGCAGCAAAACCUCAGAAGGAGAGAAAAUUAAUCCGGUCAGAAAGAAGGACUCAGAGCGAGCUGGUGAUUCACACUGUCCUCGGGAGGAAAGCUGGACGUGCCCUCUUAAAUACCCUUCAACUGUGGUUUCCUACUACUUUGUUCAAACGUCUAUUUAUUCCCAAAUAUUAAUUGUAUCUCAGAAGGAGUGUGUUUAAAGAUUUGGCUUUAAAUUUCCCUCUAGAAAACUCAUUAGAGGUGGACAGAGCUGAAUUUAAGCCACUCUGUUCACAAAGUUCUUUGGAGCUCAAAACGUACGUUCAGGCAACAUAGAAGAAAAACUAGAACUUUGGAGUUGACGUCCGUAUUUCUCCUAGUCUGUAACACAAUACUGUGCACGCCUGCAGGGAGAAGAAAGAAUAUAUUCUUGACCUUAAGUGACCAAUUCUUGAUCCCUUGUAAACAUGAACGGCUGGCAGCUGGGCUUGUGUGUGCUAAACUCCACCCCCUCAUUCACAUACCGCGUUUGGAGGAGCUUAGCAGCACUUCCUGUUUGAGGUCAUGACCCAAGAUCAGAGUAGCUUAGGCAGGGUCAGGAAAACAGUAUCAGCUCCUGGGACUGGCUCCCUUAAGCCUUGAGUCAUCCUUCCCUAUACCUGAAACUUAGAAGCCAGAGGUGGGCAGAGAGCAGCAGGAAAGCUGAUAAUUAGAGACAAGCCUCCCCCUGUCCCAAAGGCUCAUUUCUCCCAGUUCCCUACUCUCUCUCACACAUCCUCCUCCUCCUCCGAGGGGCUAGAGGAGUGGAUCAAAGACGGGAUUAUACCUCUUUGAAGUGGUGACAUCGUUUAUGGAUCUGAAGUCACGUCUUUUCAGACUGUCAGUAAGGCAAGAAGAGCCUCAGGAGCUCAACUUUCCGAAAUGAACCUGUCUCACAGCUCUGCGGCAACCGAGGGACAGGAAUGGAUAGCCACAGCAUCCUAAAAAGGAUGUCUUUCCAGCACACAAAGUUGCUUGAUUAAUUAAUUCAGGCAUUGUAAUAACUGAAGUAAUUGAAAACCAAGUAUUUAUGGCUGAACAGAACCUCAAACAGGUCUACUGGUUUGUCAGUCAAGGCUGGGGUUAUUGCUAUAUAAUCCCUUAGGUUUUUAGUUUUAGGUUUUUCCCCAUGAAAGUCAAGCUAAGUGCCCAAGGCUGCUGUUCACUGCCAUGUGUGCACAUUACCUUGUGAUAAUAACAAAUGCAAUCUGAGGACAUUUAUAUUCACAAACUUUGUCCUCAGAGUCAAGGAUAGGAAGGGGGCCAAAGGCUGUGCUCGGAAGUCCAAACAGCAAAUUUUAGGUAAAAUGGAUGAAAACUCUAGUUAAUAUCUAUGACCGUGUUGUGCCCACCUAUGGCAGUCUCCAUAAAUUAUAAUAAAGCCAAGAGAACCACAUUACUAAUGAACAUCAAUAAAAGGAUUGGAUAAAUGAAAGUUAAAAAUAGAAGAUUUUAAGCUGCUUUGUAGGAUGAUAGAAAUCUUACACAGUCCCUCCUUAUGUGUUCCUAAAAUGCCUGCUGCCGUCUUCAGCACUCUCAGGACUACAGAAUUCCUGCCUGUUCCACUGUGACUCUUCAACUCCACUAGUUUCAAAGAUGCAGACAACUGGAGCCCUCAAAUCUUCCAUACAUCAGCAUGUGAAGCCUGCCUAACGAUAAGGCACCAUCCACAGACCAUAAGCAACCACACUAAAAGCUCCUCAAAGGGAAUUUUCUUCAAACUUCACUUUCUACGGGGACCAGGCCAGUAGUGUACAGAAAGAUCAGGCAAUUGGAAAAUCUGGGCCCCACUCCCUGCUACUCUCUCUCUCUAACUCCAGUCACUUUUCCCACUGAAAUUUAUAAGCCUGGUGCUAACAUUUUCUAAUUCUUAAGAGAUUACAAAAGUCCCCACAGGGAGAUGUCUUUUGCCACCUUAUACACGGUUGUAGCAAGUUAACUUUUGUAAAACACCAUACUAGGAAAUUAAAUCACGGCUAUGAAAAUAAACAUCAAUUUGGGAUCCGUGGUCUACAGUUUUAUCUUUGGACUUGUAGACAAACACAUGUGCUUUUUAUCUUGGCACAUGCAGACACACACAUGUGCUGCCA